rnacentral:rRNA from 1 species
UACAGAGGGUGCGAGCGUUAAUCGGAAUUACUGGGCGUAAAGGGCGCGUAGGCGGCUCUGAUCGUCGGAUGUGAAAGGCCUGGGCUCAACCUGGGAAUGGCAUCCGAUACGGCGGGGCUGGAGUGUGGGAGAGGUUGGUGGAAUUCCCAGUGUAGAGGUGAAAUUCGUAGAUAUCGCUUGGAACGCCGAAGGUGAAAACAGGUCGCUGGGGAUGUGCCGACGCUGAGACACGAAAGCCAGGGGAGCAAACGGG